AGAAAAUCUCCCCUGCCUCAUACUACUGAGCUUAUAUUGGCCACAGGCAGGUGGAGGCAAUCAGGCAAUUAGGUAAUUAAGCAACUACCUCCACCUGCACUACCCAGGCAAGCAGAGGCAGGGGACGUAACACUGUGACAGAUAAAUUAGGCUGGUAAGAAUGUUUCUAACUCACAGAUUGCCUGAGUUUUGGUGGGUGGAGGCAGAAGGGAAUCACACGUUAGGAUGUUAACACAUGACAGACACUGCAUUUUCUCCUGGAGUUCACGGCUUGUGCAAGCAGCAAUUUAAGUUCCUUGAGCGGCGUUAUUGUUGUCUGUCGGCUGGCGGAAAUCCCAAAGGGAGCUCCCAUAUUUUGUCAAUCAAAAAGUUGACAGCACUCCCAAAAAUGCGCAUGCAUUCUGUCUGUGAUAUUGGCAGAGUGAAACACAGUGACAAAGAAGUACUGUGGCAGCUGGUGCAUUGACAAGUAACAGCCCAGACGGCCCAGAAUGCCUUCCUCCCUCAGAAGCCAUAACUCAUCCCUGAUUGGCCGCGCCGCCUUUCAUCUGCGCCGAGGGCCUAAUCACAGCGACUUGUUUUUGGGGGGUUGUGUUGUGGUUCCAGGCCCCACACCCCCCCUCCUGCCAGCCCAGUACUCCAAUAUGAGGAAGACAGGCAAGCCAGGGACUUUGAGAACAGUAGCUAGCCUUCCCCUUCACUCUCUCUCUCUCUUUCCACAUCUCUAUCCCACUUUCUGUCUCUCUAUCCCUCACUCUUCCACUUUCUCUCUAUCUAUGGCUGCAGUUGCAGCGCUUAAACCACUAAACUGAUGAGCUUCUCCAGCCUAAUUUUUGCAUGCAAAUGCAUUACAGAGUGCUCUGAUUUCUUUUUAUUUUUCUUAAUUUUUCUGUAUCUCGGCCAAAACCAUAACUGUCCUGUCACUUUAAUUGGACGAUUAUGAAUGUGAUGACAGGUCUGUUAAACUGAAGGCAGAGGAAAAAAUAUAAACUGAGAUCAUAUAAGUGCCGCUAAAAAGCCUAUCAUCUCUCACAACUGUUCAAAAAACAGUCAAUACCUUUUCCCUAAGACCUUUCCCCCAUGAGACUGAUGAUGUUUGAUUACAAUGUUUUUCAGAAGAUAUCACUGGCAAAUACUUAAUAUAAACAAAAAUUUAAUUGUCACAAAAUAUGUUAAAAUUGCUUUAAAUUAAUUUUAAGACAUGGGAAUGCCUCCUAAGAAUGCCUCAGAAUCCACUUAGCAGAUAUCACAAAGGUGAAAUACAAUUAUCUACAAAUAUAAAGUGCAUUCCAUAUAAUCAAGUGCAUUAAACACAUAUUUCCUCA